AUGAGUGAAUUAGCGAGUUGUUUCCCUUUGAAAUCAACACGCCAUUAUCGGUGGAUACAUGUCUGAAACUGGGUCAGAGAAUACAUGCAGUUAUUGCUCUGAAUAUACGCGGAUAUUUAAAGUGCAUGGCGGAUUUAAUAAUUGUUAUGGAUAACCUCCAGCAGUAAGAAAUAUAAAGGCCCACUGCAGUUUUGAGUGCUCAACAAGUAUUGACCCCAUACUAUGCUCAGCAAGUAGGGCCCUUGUAUUUCUGUGAAUCCUCAUGCAGUACAGUACUGCUGUUGGAAGAGGAGCAAACAGUGUGGUAUCUAUGGUCCACCAUCACUUCAAGCAUUAUGGCUAUGGAGAAAAGAAUCUUUCAUUACAUAUGGACAAUUAUAGUGGACAAAAUAAGAAAAGUGUUGUAAUAAGCUAUGGAAUGUGGCUUGUUAUGAUGGGUCUACAUGAUGACUUGGAGUACAACCUGAUUGAGGCAUACAGAAUUCAGUCCUGAACAUGUUUAGAAUGUCUUCUGCAUGACCUGGUAUAGAUAGUAUUCUUGAAGGAUUAUAACUUCAACACAGAGACGGAGAUUAAUAUUUUUAGGCAGGGGGUUGGCAUGACAGGCAAAUUCACCAACCGUAUUACCAUUCCUGAGUUGAAUGCCAGUCGACAGUGGUACCUGUAUAAUGAAAUAGCGCCCCUUUGCAGCAACAGCAAUGUAUGCUCAAAACCAGCAGUGUCAAAGCCAUUAAAAUUGAUAAUUCAAGUCAUUUAAAACGAAGAAUGAAUGGAAAAAAGUGUUUAACAUUUAAAGUAAUACUGAGAAAGAGCUCUGAAAUUUUGAUUAAUUUGAAAGUGUUUUUGAUUUUUUGAAGAUGUACUAGACCCAAAUUCCAUAUAUUUGAAAAAGAACAAAUGAUACAUAUAAUUUAUGUUAACAUUGAAUUAACAACUUUAUGGUGUCAACAGUACUAUGCAUUUGUUAAAUAUUGACUCACUAUAUACAUGUAAGGCUGAACACAGUAUAAAUGUGAAAUUCCUCUAAAACACUGGAAGAUUUUUCAACAAUAAUUGUAACAUAUAUGGUAGUAAUAUACAUUUUUUUCAUUACGACAGUUGGAUUAUAUAGAUCUACGAAUAUUUUCUGCUGUAUUCAGACUGAAUGUAAUCA